GAUUAUUGCAACAAUAUUUUUUACAAGCUGGUCAUGGGCAAGAUCUAAGCGUCCCACGAGCUCUCUUUGACUCUAUCGUUCCAGUAAAACCUAGAACUUAGAGCAGUGACUGGUUUGUCUCCGUUAUAGCGCACACAACUUUAUUGCAAGGCAUCUUGCUCGCGACGAAGAAGCACAUUUGGAGCCGGGUGCAUGUGUCUCCACAUUAGAAGCAUUCGGCGAGAAAGAAGAAAGCGCGCACUGAUAGUUGUUGAUACAAUAAAAUAUGAAAAAUGUAUGUACAAUAAAGUUUCACCAAUAGAAGCAAUAUUGACACUGGGAAGCAUAUAAUAUUAGUGGUGGAAGCACAAAUGUCUGCUAAUGGUCUAUCCGUUUUUAGACAAACCUAAGACAAGAAUUUUGGGACGGAGGGAGUACUAAAAAGGUCUGUUAUCAAUAUAACCAGAAACAUGUAUAUGAAUUAACUAUUGUUGUCAAUAUAACCGGAAACAUGUGUAUCUAAAUUAACUAUUGCCAAGAAAAUAAUAAUUUGUGAACCUAAUUACACAAUCUGUCUGGACUGAAGUACAAUACUUCAGAAGCAUAGAUAUUUGCAAGCAGCAAUUUCAUGCCAUCUAACAUAAAGCAAGAGUAUAAAAAAUGGAAGCAUGGUUAUGGAUAUUUCAGGAGCAUCAGAUUCAUGCCUUCUAACAUAAAAUAAGAGUACAAUUCUUCUCUAUGCAGUAAAGAACAGAAGUAUGAUACAUGUGUAGGAUGGAUAUUUCAGGAGCAUCAGAUUCAUGCAAUUAAACACAACACAAAUGAGAAGUGGUUACAGCAGGAAGAUCUUGAACCUGAGAAGCAUAGUUGUAAUGCCACUCCAUCUGCAUGUACGAGCUUGUAUUGGAUAUAUAGGAAGCAUAGAAUCUCUGCAGCAAAAAAAAAACAUCUUGCAAGCACAACACAUGCAUGGCCUAGUGGAAGCAUACAAAUCUAAAAACGAAUAUUGGCAUCCUGGCCACAAAAAUGUUGGUGAUUAGUAUCAUCGAACAUAAGUGAAAAUUCUGUGAGCCUAAAUCAAUUUCUACAGGGACAAAUCAAGAUCCGGGAAGGCAUUGAUUUGAGUAAGAAAAUACACUCCUGUACCUUCACAUAUUUAGAGGAAACUGAACCUAGGAACAUGCAGAUUGAGGACCCAAAGCAGACGUUUGGUCAACCGUUCCUCACAUGCUACUGCAUAUGUUAGAGAUGGCGGCAGCGGCCGCGGCCGCGGCCGCGGCGGAUCGGGAGGGAGGACUUUGGGGCUUGGACCGGGGCCGCAGUGUAUGGGGAUCCAAACCUCGGCAGCAUCGGCAGGGAGAUCAGAGGGAUCCGGGGAGGAUUGCAAGCUCCACUGUGCGGUCCGUCGGAAGCAGGGUAGGUGACGGUGAGCUCGGCGGUGGUGUGUGGUGGAUGCACUGUGGGUACAGGAGGAAGCUGGCGGCGCACGCGGACGGAUCUCCCGUCGGUGACGACGGUGAGGUGAGCAGGGACGGAAACAAGAGGUGCGAUAUUUUGGGGAUAAAAUGGAGACGGGAGUUAUGGCGACAGUUA
rnacentral:rRNA from 1 species